rnacentral:tRNA from 1 species
GAUCGCAUAGCGCAAUGGAUUAUCGCGUCUGACUUCGGAUUAGAAGGUCGUGGAUUCGACUCCCACUGUGGUGC